rnacentral:rRNA from 1 species
CACAAGACUGAAUCUGGAUUCCCAUCUAGUGGCAGACGGGUGAGUAACACGUGGGUGACCUACCUUUUCGUUGGGGAUAACAGUUGGAAACGAUUGCUAAUACCGCAUAAGCGCACAGUGCCGCAUGGCACGGUGUGAAAAACUCCGGUGGUGUAAGAUGGACCCGCGUCUGAUUAGCUGGUUGGUGAGGUAACGGCCCACCAAGGUAACGAUGCGUAGCCGAACUGAGAGGUUGAUCGGCCACACUGGGACUGAGACACGGCCCAGACUCC